AAGGGUAUAGCUCAGUGGUAGAGCACUGUGCUUAGCAUGCACAAGGUCCUGGGUUCAAUCCCCACUACCUCCA
rnacentral:tRNA from 1 species